rnacentral:rRNA from 1 species
UACAGAGACUGCAAGCGUUAUUCGGAUUCACUGGGCGUAAAGGGUGCGCAGGCGGCCGAGUGUGUUAGGCGUGAAAGCCUGAGGCUCAACCUCAGAAUUGCACCUAAAACUACACGGCUAGAGCAUUGGAGAGGGUAGCGGAAUUCACGGUGUAGCAGUGAAAUGCGUAGAUAUCGUGAGGAACACCAGAGGCGAAGGCGGCUACCUGGACAAUUGCUGACGCUCAGGCACGAAAGCGUGGGGAGCAAAAGGG